rnacentral:rRNA from 1 species
UACGUAGGGUCCGAGCGUUGUCCGGAAUUACUGGGCGUAAAGAGCUCGUAGGUGGUUUGUCGCGUUGUCCGUGAAAACUCACAGCUCAACUGUGGGCGUGCGGGCGAUACGGGCAGACUGGAGUACUGCAGGGGAGACUGGAAUUCCUGGUGUAGCGGUGGAAUGCGUAGAUAUCAGGAGGAACACCGGUGGCGAAGGCGGGUCUCUGGGCAGUAACUGACGCUGAGGAGCGAAAGCGUGGGGAGCGAACAGG